AGUCAGUCUAUUGUCAUAACCUAGACAUCUUAAUCUUUGUUUGGACUAAAACGUACGGUUGACCAUGACAUACACAAGGCCCUGACUUGGUGCUACUCUGACCUAGGACAAAAUGGCUAAUUUAAUACAAAAAACAACUGUCUCUUGGCAGAGAUAGUGAGUGAUACUCUAAAGUGCCUAAACAGAAGAAGCGGCUCAACACAAAUAGUGGAAUACCCUUAUCCACAAUAGAACACAAAUAUUACAAAAAAAGGUAUAGACUUUAUAACAACGGGUGGAGCGCUAUAUUAAGUGUAAAAUAUAAGUACGGUAUAAAACCAUCUGCA